ensembl:snRNA U6 U6 spliceosomal RNA
CUAUUCUAAAUUCAAAAGCUUUACCCAAACUGGAAUGAAACAGAGAAGAUUAGCAUGGCUCCUAUGCAAAGAUGACACACAAAUUUGUGAAGCAUUUCAUAAUUUU